rnacentral:sRNA from 1 species
GGCAGGCCCUGGGCUGGAAGUCAGGGAUAACUGGCCAGGACCGCAGUUGGGGGUGAAGUUCCCAGACCUGGCUGCCUCCUGAGUAGGCCCUGCCAGAACGGCUCCCUCCCGAUGUGAGGUUCUGCAUGUCCUCUUCUGAUUUAUCCAGCUCUCUGACCUCGAGGAGCCACCAAACUGCAGACUGGGUCCCCAGGGCCAGUCUCUGGCAGGAAAAGUGGCUGGUGAUGCCCAGAGUCCCCACAGCCCCCCCAAGGCCCCCAGAUGUGAAGAUGUGCUUGGCCCGGGAGCCCCGUCCCACUGGAGGCAGUCUGUGGCAUGGCCCCCACCUCACUCUUUGCUCCACAAUGCAGGCUAGAAGCACUCUGGGGCCUGAAGGGGCCGCCCUAGAAGCCCACCCCACCCCACACUCCUCUCCCGUCUCCCCAGCUGCCUCAAGGGCUACGUCAACCACAGCCUGUCCGUCUUCCACACCAAGGACUUCCAGGACCCUGAUGGGAUUGAGGGCUCAGAAAACGUGACUCUGUGCAGGUUUGGAACUCCCCAUCCCCCAAGAAUGCCCUCUGAACUCCUGACCCCUGACCUCAGGUACUUCCUUACCCCAGAUACAGGGACUACCGCAAUCCCCCCGAUUACAACUUCUCCGAGAAGUUCUGGUUCCUCCUGGCCAUCCGCCUGGCCUUCGUCAUCCUCUUUGAGCACGUGGCCUUGUGCAUCAAGCUCAUUGCCGCCUGGUUCGUGCCCGACA